GCGGAUGUGGCGGAACUGGCAGACGCGCUAGAUUUAGGUUCUAGUGUCUUUUGACAUGGAGGUUCGAGUCCUCUCAUCCGCAUCA
rnacentral:tRNA from 1 species